UGGAUCACCUCCUAACAGGGAGACAAACAACGAUUUUUGAUGUCUGAGUUUUUUUAUCUUAGGCAAAAAUCCUGUCACCUUAGGUCGGAUCGGUACCUCAACUUUGAAGCUGAGAGUGUCCAGCAAAUGGGAUUAUUGCUUAGUGGGAGAUUUUUUAGUUCCUAAACUUUGUCUAGUUCACAACCCCAUUAGGGAUGAGACUCCUGGGCCAUUAGCUCAGGGUGGUUAGAGCGCACCCCUGAUAAGGGUGAGGUCCCUGGUUCAAGUCCAGGGAUGGCCCAUUCGGCCUAGGGGGUUUAGCUCAGUUGGUAGAGCGCCUGCAUUGCAAGCAGGAUGUCAGGAGUUCGAGUCUCCUAACCUCCACUGACUACCAAAAUCCCCAUCUCCAAAACCUGGAGUAUGAACUCGUAUGGAUUGUGAUUUAGAUGUGUCCGCUAGAUGACCCUAGCUUCUUGUCGUUUUAAGGCAUGGAAAUAGUUCCAUGAUUUGAUUGAUAGGAUGCUGGGCUCGAUGCAAUGUAUUGAGAGAUCAGUACAUUGUUUUGAUGUCUGGUCGAACCUUGACAACUGCAUAGUAAGUCUGGAAAGAAUAAAGCAUCUCAUAGAUGCAUCAUUCUUGAGUGUUAAUUCACACUGGAAUGAUGUUAAUUCUAAGAGCAAGAGCCGAGACUCCAGCAUGUUCUUUCAAAUGUGUCGAGCAUUUGAGAGUUUGAUUUUAAUUUCUAUUUGUAGAAGUUAGAAGAAUCUGUUUCAACGACAGCAAGCAUGUUGGAGAUACAUUGGUCAAGCUACAAAGGGCUCACGGCGGAUACCUUGGCACACAGAGGCGAUGAAGG
rnacentral:tRNA from 1 species